rnacentral:lncRNA from 1 species
ACUUAGGUGUGGUGUGAAGCACUACACAAAAUGGCGAAGAUUGAUUUUCAAACACUUGAGUGACAGACGAUAUUUAUUUGUACAUUAUUUAAAAAAUCACAAUGGCAGAUGUUGAGGUGGAUUUAGCAAAACUUCCUCAAGGCAUAAAUGAACAAUUGCGCGAGCUUGAACUUGAAUUAUCAGAGGGUAAGAGUCUUAGAGUAAAUUUUCAUUGUCAGAACUCGGUGCCAAAAUAUUAGCACAUAAUCAAUGAUGAGACUGACUUCCUGUUAUUAUCAUAGAAAAGAUAAACACUUCCAAUACACAAUCUGGAAAUGCAAGACACAUGUCAUUUUGUUGCAAUGCCUAUAUUCAGCCCCUGAACACAAAGUAACAUGUAAAAACAGGGACAGCUCAUUAGUGAGUCAUUUUGUUUCAGCAUACAAAGAAGUGCAAAUUAGUGUGUUGUCAUUUUCAACAGGUUCAUGAUUUAUGUUUUUGGGUUUGAACAUAGGAUGAAUUAAAGAAAUGCACAUUAAAUAAGUCAAGAAAUAAAUAUAUAUAUAUUAUAGACAAUAGACAAUAUUUAUUAGCACAAACACUUUUACAUUAAAUGGUUAUGGCAUACAAAAUACACCUUAUCGCUAAUCCCGGCUGACCCGGCCGCUUGAACUUUUGACGCGUACAACAAUCACUUUUCCAUUGUAACGUCAGAUAUUUUGUUUUAUGACGUCAAAAUUUUACAUCCAGUAAUGGCGGACAAAUAGCGAUAAGGUGUAUUAAGAAAAUAAACUGACAAUAGUUAAAUUGAUUAUAAUUCAGACCUCCAGAUAAGAAUUCACAAAUUGGGUUUUUUACCCACCAUUUUCUUAUAUAAUUGGGUGAUAAAGUUUUUUGAUUGCAUUAUCAAUUCCAAUUCACCCCUCAUGGUAAUAUCAAAUUGGGUUUUUCACCACCAAGCUCCUUAAUGUAUUGGGUUUUUUCAUCAACACAAUAUUGAAUAUUUAGGCAACAUCAACCCCAGAUUUUUUUCCCAUCUUAAAUAUGUUUCUUUCUUUGUUUAACUGUUUUAUUUGGUUUAGGGUUAGGGUUAUUUGCUAGCUGUUUUAUUUGGUUUAUUGACUGAGAAGCAAUUGUUGGUUUAAUUUGUGUUCCGUUUCAAACCUUCUGCCAGUUUUGUAUUUUCUCAUAUACAGUACUGUUCAAAAAUAUCGAUUCGAUAACUUUUUUCUCCGAUUUCCGUGUUUCUCGGAAUCACACCGAGUACCGCGGAUUUCACUCCUAAAAUCCUCCAAAGAUUCUCUCCCAACACCGCGUGGCUGUUAAUUGGUUUAUUGCCCAUCGGAUGUACUUCAAAUUAACGACGCGUGACAACAAUAAUUGGAUUACCCAGAUAAUUUACCUUUGAACAUUUAAUCGAUCUUGGUUGCACAGGUGUGCUUUAAAAUCACGGUAUUAUAAAUUGAACAAAUGUUUUCCUUUCUUUGACAGAUAAAGAUGUGACAAUAUCAUUUAGAAUAAGAUAAUUAUUAUCUUUUAUAUUUGUGUCUUAUGUCGUUAUCUUUAAAAUAGAACGUACAUACGAAAAAGUAUGAAGAAAAUUGUUAUUUUGUGUUUCUAUUACAGUCCGGUCAGGUCAUACAUUGUGUUCUUUCAGCAAGGACGAUUUUGCCACAAUUAGUUUCUUUUAUAACUUAUUCAAUAAGCAAUAUCAGCGCAUUAAUUGUUCAUUAUUAAAAAAUCAACUGGCUAAUAAAAUCAUGUUUUUUUUCGGUAACCCGAUUCAUCGGAUCAUCAAGUAAACUUAAUUUAUUGAGCAAUGUAAAAUAUGAUGUUUCACCACCUCGGUACAUUUAUACAGACUUGAAUAAUUCAAAUUACGAACAGAAACUGUUAAAUGACAACUCUGUUGACAAAGGAAAUAAUUUCAAGUGAUAUUGAUAGUGUUCGUCAUUUUCGCAUUUUACGGAACGGUUUUCAAAUUGACGAAAGUAUUUAUAUCAAUUUCGUCAUUUGAAUUUGGAAAGUGAAAAAUAUUUUCACAUUAAUUAUAUUAUAAAUGUACUAUAAUUCUACCGGUGUUUGACAAGUUUAUGACGCUCAAUCAUUUUACGUUUACAAAAGAUGUUAAAAGUUGUGAUGAUAAGUAAUCCGCUUAUCGCUAUCCGAUAGGUCACUAAUCCUUUAAUUAUUAAUAAAAUUUAUCAAACCUCAUAAUUGCCCAUCAUAAUAUUCUAUUCCAGUUAAAUCAGUCAUCAUUUUAUUUUCAAAAUUUCCCAACCGCCUACAAUUGGCAUUUCUUUAUCGUAUUAUCAUGAUUAUUGUCAUUUGAAUACAAUCAGUCACCCCGGACAAUUUCCAUCAUAAUUUCCAUUAAUACAUCACCAACUGUAAAUCUAUAUUAUUGACCAUGGACAUAUAACUAAUGUACUUUCUUUUUUGAAAGAUAAAACAUUAAAAAUUCAAAUAGUUAAAAAUGUGUUCACGUUUAUUCGGAUAAGAAUUAUAUUUUUCCCGAUAAAUCAAUUGUAAAAGGACCUUCUGGAGCCUCAAUACGAUUGCACAAAAAAUGUCGUUCUGCAACUUUAGAAACCUUGAAUGGACUUUCCCACGGUCGGCCAGAAAGGUCACCUGAGUUUACUAGUACGCGAUAUUUUUUCCCGCCCUUUAAAAAACUCGUGCUGUGGAUAACAUUGAUGUUAACUAUUUUUAGCAUUUAACAUUGUUAAGUAACUCAAGUUCAAGUUCAACCCAAACUGUUGAUAACUGAGAUGUGUAUCGUGGAAUUGUCUUCGCACGGCAAAUAAUUGUUUUUAAAAUCUUUUGUUGAAAAUACACAAAUUUACAUUCAUUGUGCGAAAGUUAAUAUUAAACAAAGACGAAUUAAUGCAGCUGGAAGUAUUCCUGUUGUAACGGAAAUGUAUUAUUAUUCUGCUGUACUGCCAACAAAUCGUAAAACGAAAAUGCCGUAAUUGUUAAGCAUAACGAAUGGUGAAUAAUCUUUUCCUUUUUACUUGAAUAUACAAAACUUUCAAACACGUAAUUUUAUUUAACUGCUCAGAUUAAUUUAGCGAAAGUUUCCGGUUAUUUUUACACAAGUAUGCUCAUUUCGUAAAUAAAAUAUUAAUUUACUGGUGAAGACAUCGAGGUCAAAAUUAAGUAGUUUUCAUUUUUUAUAAAACUUAAAUACAAUUGAAAGAAUUAACAACAACAUUUUGCUUUUAAAUCUUUUAUUCAUUCCAGCAAUUAGAUAAUCGUAAAAAGAAAAUGCCGUAGAUUUACACAAUUAAUACGGGGCAAUCAUUUUGUCUAAUGAAUGGUGAAUAAAUUUUCCUUUUUACUUGCAUAUAUAAAACUUUUAGACUUGUAAUUUUUAAAUAAAGACUUUAACUUUGAAGUAGAAUAUUUUGUUUUUCACAUAUUCCGCUAUAUUUUAUAAUCGUUUUUUUUUUAAAGCAAGUACAUUAAGGUUAAGAUAUUUUUUAGAGAUGGCUAACAAAAAAUACGAAAAUAUUUUGACUUUAGUUUUUAUUACCACAAAUGAAAUUUAAUUAGUAUAAAAGACAUUUAAAAUUAUACACCGGUUUGACACUUAAACUGGUACAGUAGACCGGAAAUAUAACUCUUUAUAACUUCAACCUUUACCUGUCAGGUAAUCCAAUUACCCAUUCAGUCUUGUGCCGGUAUAGAUCAAAGUAGGAUAAGGGCAAUUAAUUCCUCGGUGUCGAGAGUGAGCUCGUUAUCACAAUAAACAUUUACCUGAUUUGGGAGAGAUUACUCCCAAAUUCCUCCCAACAUUUUGAGAGGAAUAUCGGAGUUUGUCGGAGUGGCUCCGACAUUUUCCUCGGUGUAGGGUGUGGGAGAGUUGGUACUCUUGAACUGUACUGUAAACUGUAAAACAAACGGAUAUGUGUAUUCACAGGCACUCGUCUUAUACCUUUAUAUAAUAAAUUCUGAGACCAGUGUCUGUGUGUGUAUUCAUUAAUUAACCGUAAAUGAAAAAAAUAGUAUAUAAACUCUAAUUAUACUUGAAUGUUUUUUGUUUAUUCCAAUUUUCAUAAAUCUGGGUUUAGUUGUCUUUUAUUAGAACUUUUGGUUUCUGAUGCUUUAUCAUGUCAUAAUUAAUUUGGCCUUUCACUUUUUCCAACUGAUUUUGUUUUUGAGGAAACCCUAGCUGCUUUUAUUAGCAAUGUUUUCGUUAAGGUACGUACACACACCUGUGUGUUCGAUGGACGCUUCCUUAAAACACUGGCUGAGUCUUGUUAUCAUCAUAACUUUCCCUAAGCUUUUAAAAAGAAGCAGAAAACAUGCUUUUAUUCAAUAUUUUUACCGGACAUUCACUUUUGUUUUAAUUCAAUGUAUGUAAUGAUAAAUCCCAAGCAAUCCGAAAAAAAUAUGACUUCAUGACACACGCUAAUUGGAUAAACGCCGAGAAGAUCGAAAUGUUUUCAAAAACACGUGUACCUUGAGCAACGAAAAACUCUAACAGGGACCCAUUUCAGCUACUUGAUGCAGGAUCUAUUUUUAGAACGAAAGGAAAUACUAAUUAUAAAUAUUAUAAAAAUAGUUUACGCGACGACUGUAAACAGAUAAGGGUAAAUAACGGCAAAUGGUAGCCAAUAAAAGGGUUGAGAACUCAUGGUUUUGGAAUAUAAUUGGGUUUUCCUUUGAAUUAAUUGGGUUAUUGAACCCUGCAAUGGGCAAUUGCAUUGGGUUUUUUAUUAUUUGUAUUGGGUGAUCUGGAGCUCUGAUAAUUAUAUUUGAGUGAUAGUGUACUGUGUGUCGAGAGAUUUGGGUGAAGGUCGUUUCGUAACUUACUACAUGUAGGUCGUUUUGUACCUGAGAUGUUUUGUAACCUUAUAUAUAUAAUAAUAGUAUAAGUCGUAGGUUAAAACAUUACAAUAUUGUUAUUAUUAGAUGAACAAUUUAAACUACAUGUAACACUUUAUAACCAUAUAUAAUUACACCAGGUACGAAACGUCUCAAUUUUCGAGACUCUCACAUUGUUUUAGCUUUGAAUGUAAUGUUUUUAAGAGGAGUUCUUCAUUCAAUUACUUUUCUGAGUUUACAUCAAAACAAGUUUACACAACAAUCAUUAUUUUCUAAUAAUUCAACUGGCAAUGACUGGAAUUCAAUCUAAAAUUGGAUCGAAUGUGUAGGGAGCUAUAUAUUUCAAAUAUUCCUUCAUACCAGCCACCAUCAUAUCCUGGAACAACAUACCUACUCUACAUCUAAAUUACAGCACCAUUUUUAACUGUACGUAUACAGAUCUCUUUUUAACUGUACAUACUUGAAGGUUUUUAGCUCACGCUGGAGUAUAUAUACACUCAAAAAAAGAGUCCACUGCUUGACAGGAAGAUAGAUAGAUAGGUGCAAAUGGACCUUGUGGGACAAAGUGCAAGGUGCGAAUGUGAAGGAUGCAAAAGUGUAAUAAUAAAAUAUGGGCACGAACAGACCUGAUAUUACAAGAGGCAUGAAACUCUUAGAUGAACAAUCAAGAAUGUUCAGUAAAGUAAGAUCUACAAACCCAUCACCAUCACCAAAAUACAAUUUUGUCAUGAAUCCAUCUGUGUCCUUCGUUUAUGAUAUGCACAUAGACCAAGGUGAGCGACAGAGUUUCCUGAAUAUAAUUUGUGUUUAAGAGUAUGGAUCUCUCUGAAAUUGUACUAAAAGGUUCCCUACUACAAAGGAAAGCCUUUUUGAAAAAUUUGAUGAAGAAUCUUUAGUUGCACAGUAUUGUGCAAUAGAUUUGUAAGAUCUUGACAUUUAUUUUGUGUCAAAAACCUAUAGUGAAAUUUUGAAAUCACAAUCCAAAUUCAGACAGUAUCAAGCUUGAAUAUUAUUUUUAUGUUCAAAUUUGCCCCAGCUGUUUAGAGUUCAACCUCUGUGGUCGUAUCAGGCUGCGCUCAUCAACGCAAUUUAUUAUACUUCCAAAAGAAGAAUGUAGAAACAAAUUUAGUGAUGAUAAAGAAUGAAUAACUUCCUCAUUCUUGUCAAAGGAAAUUUAUUUCACAUGAGAUAAAUGUAUAAAUGACAUUUACACAUUUUUUUCUCUUGACCUUCAUCGGAAUAAAUUGUUGGCAAAUAAAUUGCUGGCGUACAAAUACUUAAAAAACAGAUCUUCUGUAUCUCAUGUAUUUGACAUAUAUAUAUAACUUAAAUAAAUUAUGCAAUUAUUAUCAUCAUGAUCAUCAUGAUCAUGUUGAUUAUACAUGUUUAAUUGUAUUAAUUGCUGAAAAAAUCGAAGUUAUAUAUAUAGCAGCCAUUCAGUUGCAUUAAAAUCAAAUUUACAGGAGAUUUUUUAUGAUUUUAAAUUCAAAUUUUAGUGGUGAAAGGGUCUUCAGACAUGUCAGAUGAAUGACUUUAUGCAAUAUUAAUUAUACAAAUUCUGCAGUAAAAUUCUACCAUUGGAAGCAUGUUUUUACAUGCCGAUUCAACUUCCACCGUGGACAGUCAGAUUGAUAAGUUUACUUGGGUCAUAUCUAAAUUUAUGAGCUCGAUAAGUAUAGAUUAUUGGGUUUUCUAUAUAUUGAUAUAUCAUAAAAUAUCAGUCGCAGGGACCACAAUGUGAUUUUUUUGGUCUUUACUGGCCUUUUCCACUCCUUAAGACAGUGUUAUGAUUGUUGAAGCAAGCUUGAUAACAUCUCCUCACACAUUGUGAGGUUGCUGAUAACUUCUUCUCAGACAUGAUCCAGUGACGCCACUGACAAUGCCUGCUUAGAUCUCAAACUUCAAAGCCAUGAUAUGAGAGUAAGGAAGCCACUGAGCAGGGUGAUAUAGCUAUAGGCGCAGGAAAGGAUAAACAGCUUUAUGACAUUGUAAUUGUUGGUACUACAAUGAAGUUUACCUAUUAGUUGUGUGUCUUACCUUAUAAAAUAGAUGAGCAUGUAGAACCCCAUCAUAGUUACUUUGUGACCUUCAUUGCUUUUCGUCAGGUACCACUGUUAGAUUCUUUGUUAGCAAUCAUCACUCCUCAGUCCUUAGUACCAGGUAUACUUUUGCAAAUUGUUUUGGUCUUUGGUGCGACCCAAUGACAAUCACGGUACACCACUUGCUAGUUCUGUGAGUACAGCUGUACUAGUCAUGCUAGUAUAUGUAACACUUUUGUUAUAACACAGCAUGUAGACCUUUAUAAAAUCUUAUGUUGCUGACAUAAGGAGCCUAAUGUAGAAGCUUGUCACAGGAAAUGUUUUCUUGUCUCUGCCCUCAGGGAUCUGUGCAUGUACAUGUACAUGUAUGUAUCUUUGUGACAAUCAGUUUUGUUUGUGUUUGCUCCAAAUUCAAGAUCUUGGUGUUUUUAUUUUAUUUUACAGCUUCAGUUCCAUGUAGACUCCCAUCGCAAGGAUCUGUGGCAUUUAAUUUAUGAUCGUGUAAUUCAAAGAAUCCCAUGAUGACCCUCAUUAGCUUAUGCUAGGAUUAUUAGGAACCUGAUACUUUGUGACACGUUUUUUCAGAUUCCUAAAUUUGGGAACCCCAGAUACAAAUAUGGAACCUGAAUGAUCAUAUAAACUUGGUUACUAAGCUUUUAUAGGUUUCUAAUUUAGGAACCAAAUAUAGAUCCCUGAAUGGUCAUAUGACUUGGUGACGAAGCUUUUUUUAUUCUAAAUUUAGAAACCCCAUGAAGAACCCAAAAUGAUUUACCAACUUAGCGUCUAAGCAAUUUUAAAGUUUCUUUGUAAAGAAAUCCCAUGUAGACCCCCAUCACAGGAGGCAUAAUGUAUUGUAUGGAGUGGAGUGUUGGAGUGGAGUAUUGGAGUGGAGUGUUGGAGUGAGAUUUUGGAGUGAAAUUUUGGAGUGAGAUUUUUGGAGUGAGAUUUUGGAGUGAAAUUUUUGGAGUGAGAUUUUGGAGUGAAAUUUGAUGAAAAAUUUUGUAUAGUGAAUAAUUUAAAAACAAACUAUACUGAAAUAGAAAUAAAAAAAAUGCAUGCAGUGAAGUAUUCGAAUAAUAAUGUUUCGAAUAAUAAUGUGAACGACCUCAUAUCAACAGUCCUUUAUAAACAAUUUCAAAUUCUCCUGAUCUACUGAUGCAUAACUAAGAGUUAUAUAAUUAUUUAGCAUUGUGAUUUCCCAAUCUCUUAAGAAUCUGGCAGCAUCCUCAUUAGGAGAAUUUUACAUGCUCGUGUAUUAGGUUUAGUCCCCAUUUCCAUUCUUUAUUAUAUUAUAUUAUUUUGUAAAAUGAACAAAAAAUCUUCACAUUAUCAUGUUUAAAAGUAUCAUAUUUAUUGUUUUUGCACUGUUGUUUUUAGUUUUUUAAAUGAUUUUGUUAUAAUAAAACACCCAUGCAACCACGCAUCCCAUAUUGCAGAUAGGACCCGACACAAAUAAUUAAUUUCGUGUUUCGGCAGUUAAGCUUGGGAUGGUCAUUUUAAGAUGCAUUAUUUGAAUAUAAUCAAAUAUGAAAAUUAUUCAUGUUUAUAUUGAUAUAUUUAUAUUUUAAUCAGGGAUGAUUCCACUAUAUAGUUUAGGGCCGCUGAGCGGCCCUUAAAUCUGCCAGCGGCCCUUAAAUCUGUCAGCGGCCACAAAAAAAUGUUUGUGAAUAUAAAUUCCAAAUUCAGGAAAAUAAAAUAAAAACCGGUAUUUCCGGAAAGGUUUCAGUCACCGAUUACAGCAACUAUAAUUUUUCAUAGUUUGUCGUCAAAACGUAGUAAAAUCCGGAUAAGAAUGCUGACUACGAUGGCAUUUUAUUAACAACGAUUUAAUUAUGUCAACGGGAGGUAAACAAUUUUAGCAGCCGGAUUCAAUUGAAUAAAAUUGUAUGGGAGUAUUUGAAUUAAAAAAAAGUAGAUCGCUCAGCAGGUUAAUCAAAAACAUGCUUUUGGUCAAAAUGAGUGUCAAAGCAGACCUUGGCAAAGAACAAAUUCAAAUUUUGAUAUUACAUUGAUAAAUAAAUUUUAAUGGGCGCCGAUCUUAUAAAAUCAGAUCGCCCAGCAGAGCUGGUUAUGUAACUUGAUUAAAACUUGUUUUGUAAGAAGUUAUUUUAUAUUUUGCUCUUUUUCCUCAAAAGACAAAAGUUUGAGCGUUUUUGAAAAUAAUAUUGAUGAUAGACCAUUCAUGAAAUGAGCCCCCCCCCCCUGAAGUACGAUGUUAUCAUUAUGGAACUGAUAUAAAAAAUUAUCCAUAAUUUUUAAGUUCACUGGUGCCUGGUGCAAUUGCUUUAAAUAUCUUAUCAAUUAAGUAUAUAACCUUUUGUAAUUGCUUUUCUGAUUUCGACAAUUGGCCAGUUCAAUUUGAAAUCCAUUUGAAUCAAGGUAUAACGUUUAUAAAGUUGAUCUGUUGAAAAAAUACCCAAUGGACGACUUUUUCAAUGGUUAAUAUGGCAAGCCGUUUUGCUAUUUAAUCUAACUUCAAGAUAUCUCAUAAACUUUAGUAAGAUAUCUUAUAUAAUAGUUCAUUAGAUAUCUUAUAUAGUUGUAAGAUAUCUUCUCAAGUUUAUAAGAUAUCUUACAUGAUAGUUCAUGAGAAAUAUGUUAUAAAAUUUAUGAGAUAUCUUAGCUUAUAAGAUAUCUCAUAUAGUUUUUUUAUAAUUGAUAUUAGAUAUCUUCUUUAUUAUAUAAGAUAUCUAUUUAUAUAAGAUAUAUUAUAAAAAAGAUUAUUUAAGAUAUCUUAUAUAUCAUAUAAGAUAUAUUAUAAGAGACAUCGUAUAGAAAUUAUAAGAUAAUUCAUAUUAUAUAUCUUAAAUAAUUUUUUUAAGAUGAUAUCCAAUAAACUAUAUAAGAUAUCUUGUAUAAAAAAUAUUUAUAAGAUAUUUCAUAUACUUAAUGAGAUAUCUUAUAAACUUGAGAAGAUAUCUUAUCAAGUAUAUAAGAUAUCUUAUAAGUAUAUACGAUAUCUUAUAAUAAAAUAUAUAAGAUAUCUUAUUAAGUUUUUAAACAUUAUAAGAUAUCUUAUGAAAUAUAUAAGAUAUCUCAUGAAAUAUAUAAGAUAUCUCAUAUAAUAUAUAAGAUAUCUCAUAUAAUAUAUAAGAUAUCUCAUAUAAUAUAUAAUAUAUCUCAUAUAAUAUAAAUAACUCAUAUAUAUAUAAGAUAGCUUUAAAAAAUUAAAUUAUAUAAGAUAUCUCAUAUAUUAAAUGAGAUAUCUUAUAAAAAUCUUAUAUGUUAUAUAAGAUGUCUUAUAUAUUAUGAGAUAAUUUGAGAUAAUUUAAAAUUCGAAUAAAUAGCUAAACUGCUUGCCAUAGGUUUAUGUUAGCUGGUAUAUAUGCCUUGUUUACCAAAGUUAAGAUGCUAGUGCAUCAUGUGCAAUGGUAUUCAUGUAUUACAACUUCCCUGGUCUAAAUCCAAUAACUUCUUCAAUCAUUGUGCAGAUAAAGCUUAAUAUAUAUUCCGUUUUUACAGGUCAGGAAAAUGACAUUAUUUCGUUUUAGAUUGUAUGCAUAAAAAUUCCCAAAUUGGAAAAAAAAAUUCCCAUUUUGAUUUUAAAGGGACCCAUUUGAAAACACCUGGAAUCAUCCCUGUUAAUUCUUCUUCAAUAGAUCUAGUUAUUAUGACAGAUCUGCCAUCAUCAGGGGUCCAACUGUCAAUUUUAUGUUACAUUCUUUAACUUUGAUCUACUAAGCAUAUCUCCAAUACUUUUAUGUUUGCUAUACGCAACUAUUGGUGCUGUAUUGAAUAUUUGUACAGAGUCUUCGUCGAACUGUAAUAAAUGCCAGUGUUUCAUCAUAUUAUGCGUGCCCCAGAAUUUUCGUUUAUUUUUAUCAUGUUGCUGUAAGGCUAGGGUACCUGAUGAGGAUAAUGCCUAGGUAAUAUAAAACCUAAACCGAAACACCAGGUGAAAUUACAUCUUCAAAUCAAUUAUUUCUUACCAAUAUCUAUGCGUAUAUAUGUGUGCAUAAUUUUACUAUUGAAGUAAUAAUAAAUAGAUACUUGCCUACAUAUAUAGUUUGGUUCAAAACGAAACUAAUUGUAAUAUUGACCGACUAUUUCAAAUAUUUAAAUACAUGAAAAUAAACUAUAUAUGUAUUUAAUGAUACGAUAGGUCACUGAUUCUCUGAAGAUAUAUACUGUUACAAAAAUAGAAGAGUGUGUCCUAGAGAUAAUAUUGAGAUGUUUGGAUUGCUUAAGGACUCGUUCUUAUUUCAACAUCUCUGAAGAUUUAUGUUGUUACAAGAAAAGGAGAAUUGUGUCUUAGGAGUUGUAUUGAGAUAUUUGGAUUGGUUAAGGACUCGUUUUUAUUUAAACAAAUUGACGUCCCCCAAAAAUUGGUUGGAUGGGGUCAUUGAGUGCAAAAAAUAAAUUUUCUUUUACGAUAGGGUUGUUGUAUAUCAAAUGAAAGGUCAUGAUGUGUACAUUUGAAAUAUCAAAUUCCCAACCUCCAAAAAUUGGUUGGAUGGGGUUAUUAAGUGCAAAAAUCAAACUUUUUAGAACAUGGCGUUGUCGCAUAUCAAAUGAAAGCUCAUCUACCCUGUUUUACAUAUAUCAUACUUCCGAUCUCAAAAAUGUAGGCGGAUGAGGUCAUUAAGUGUAAAAAGCGAAAAGUUUCAGAAGGUAUGCUUGUCGUAUAUCAAACGAAUGGUCGUACAAAGAACAUUACGAAAACAUCACUUUUACAGGAAAGACCUUUCAAUUGUUUUACAAACAAUUGAGAUACUAGUUAUUACGAAUUUUAUUCUUUGCACAAAGAUAUGAGCAUUAUUAUGAUAUUCUGGUUCAAUGAGUUUUCCCAGAUUUAUGCCCAUUAGGACUUCGAAAUUCUGUGCAAUUCAAUGUGCACUUUGUCACCACAAGUCAAAUGACACUCCCACAAGGUGAGUUAAUGAGAGGAGCAUAUUUCAUAUUUUUAAAUGAACAUGACCAAAUAAUUAUUCAUGAUUAUCUGUGAUCAAAAUUUUAAUCAAUAUUUAGCACUGUAAUUUUUCUUUAUUUAUUUUUAAUGAAUACUUGUUCAAAAUUAAACAAAACAUUUAACCCCUGACAAUCUACUUAUAAUAUACUAUAUAUAUACUCUAAAAUUUCACCAAAAAAAAAAUCACUCCAAAAUCUCACUCCAAAAAUUUCACUCCAAAAUCUCACUCCAACUCCAACACUCCACUCCAAUACUCCACUCCAAUACUCCACUCCAACACUCCACUCCAUAAAAUACAUUAUGCCAUCACAGGAGUUUGAUGACAAUGUGAACAUUUUUGUGUCUGACCUAGGGGAAGCUGCACUCUUUCCUAUCAUACUUUUUCUUUCCUUGUGUUAAGUGGUUGUACAUAAUGAUACGUUUUAGUGUUGUAGUCGUACUGACAAAAAUGUUAUAUUGUAACGUCAUAUUUUAACUCAUUUGGAUAUUAUGUGUUGAAAUAUUCGUUACUAAAUUAACGAUGUACAAUCUGGGUGAUAUUAUAGAAGGAUUACAAGACAAUGAGUUUCAUGAUGAAAAUGAAGGUAAAUGUUUUAAUGUUAUGUAGUUACAUUUGACUGUAAUACGACAUACAAGUGUAAAUGUAUUACAUAUUCAUAAAUGUUUUUUGUUUGUUUGUUGGUGAACGAACUUUAUGAAUUUAUGUAAAAUAUAUGGCAUGUACAUUGUUUUGUACAUAUAAAUUUGGGAUGGGUAAGUCUUUGCAUUUGAAAUCGUGAAUACUGUCUGUGUAUUUUGAAUUGAAAUGUAUAUAUUACAUUAAUUUAAUUCAGUACACAAAAAAAAUAAGCUUUAAUUCUUUAAAAUUUGAAAUUUCCAUUACUGCAGACAUUUAAGCCCCCUUCUUAAUUUGUAUACUACCAUCCUUUGUAGCCAAACCCCCAACAUUUUAAAAUUUCAAGUCUUCAUUCUGUAAAUUCAACAAAGAGAAUGUUUUGUAUAUGAAUCACUGAACUCAAAAACCUUUAAUUUACAAGUACAAUAUACAUGUAUGAAAGAUAGACCAUUAUCAUAUAAAGUUCAUCGUUUAAUAUCACAAGAAUACAUGUACAACACUGCAUUUGCAUUUUCUAUAGUCAUGAUAGUUUAUCCCCUCUAAGUCUUUAAGAAUGAUGACAUUUUGUGUUGCCAAUUAAUCAUUGACAGAAGUUAUACCUGCUGUCUUUAAUUUUGUUUUGUUGGGAUACUGUCUAGUCGAGAUUACUCUCAUGUCCAAGGGCUGUUUUGUUGUCUGGCAAAACAGCCGUUGGAGUCAGAGUAAUCUCGGACUAGGAUACUGUCAUAUUGAAGUAUAUAGACCUGUUGGUGACCUUCUGCUGUUGUCUGUUCUAUGUUCGGGUUGUUGACUCUUUGACACAUUCCCCAUUCCCAUUCUCAAUUUUAUUAUAGUGUGCCUCUCAUCUCUUAUAUUUUUGAAAUCAGUGUUAGGGACGACAUCAAAAGAUCGAUGUAGGAUAAAAAACUUAAAUCAAAUAGUUUGGGAUUGGGGCUAAACAUUGCUGCAAGUUUUGUUAAUCCAAAAUCGAUUUUACAUAUAUCCAUAUAGGUAAAUCAAUUUUUCCCAAAUUAAGUUAAGAAGGGGGUGGGGGUCAGUGAAAAAACUGUGAGUUAAGUUUUUUUAUCCUACAUUGAACUUUUGAUGUCCUCUCUUAGUGCUCAAGCAUAGCUUUUUGCCUUGAGAUUCAAAAGUCUAUUGUGAAGACUAAUUUAAGAUAUUUAUCUAUUAAGGGACACAAUGUGGGGACGUGGGAUAAAGGGGAUAGCAAAGUUGGGAUGUACUGGAUGUGUUUUUAAGGGGGUAUAAAAGGCAGGAUCUUGGGGGAGAAAAAAAGGGCAAUUUACAAAAAAUUGAAAUUAGUGCAAGGAGCUUCCCUAUGUCACUGUCAUCCCCUCUUUGUAUGUCUAAGGAAGAGUUUAGAAAAUCGUGUAAAUGUUCAACCGAUGGCAGUGACAAACUGACUGAUCUUUCCUUGUAUGAUACACUUUAAACUUCAAUUGUUUGUUAUGAUUGUUAGAAAGAUCAGACAGGAACAUUCAUUAAGGAUGGGAUGUUAAUGUUUAAAACAUUUCUGAAAAAGUAAGAUACUGAGUAUAUAAAGUUAAGCAACAUAUAUGUUUUAAUUUAAAGAAUGUUGCAAAAAAUAAUUAGUUGAAAUAUUUUGGUCAAUUUAGAAUUACAUUAUUGUUAUUUAUACUAUGUGUUAAAAAUAAUUGAGUUAUUAAUUUAGUAAUAAAAAAAAUUGAAAUAUGAUUUUAAAAAUAUUCGUUGCUAAACAUUUUUCACUCAGUAUAGAUAUUUGUUUAUUUUGUUGUGCAGGGAUCCAUAUUAUUGCAAUUUUCUGGGUUAUGAUUUCAGAGUUGCAAGGAAUAAAAUAAACCAUAAUAUCUUUGUAAAACAUAUAUGCUGCCGUUUGUCAUUACUCAUUAGCUUUCAUUCAUAAUUUGGCAUAACUCAGUCUUAGUACUUUCACAUCUGGGACAUGUAUACAAAAAGAAUCAAAAUAUACCUCUUCUUAGGUAAUGUGAAGGUAUACAUUAUCACUGAACUAGUAUACAUAUUUGUUUAGGGGCCAGCUGAAAGGCGCCUCAGAGUUUGGGAGUUUCUCGCUGUAUUGAAGAUCCAUUGGUGGCCUUCAGCUGUAGUCAGCUCAAUGGUCAGGUUGUUGUCUUUUUGACAUAUUUCCUAUUUCUAUUAUCAAUUUUAUGGGUGGAAAAAAAUGACAUUUAACUCCCUCAACUGAUGGUGACCGACAGAUUAUUUGGUCAAUCUCAUAUACUAAAUAUAUGAAUUCUAUAUGAGGUUUUAAUUUAAAUAUAACUAACAGGAAACAAUUUAAUUUUAAGUACAUUUAUUUUUUGGCAACAUUUAUAUUUUAUUACAACAAGGAUGGUAUACAUUGUACAUAUGAUGUAUCAUACAUCAUGAUCAUAGGAAAAAAAUCAAUGGGAAAAAAAUUUGCAUUUUUUUAAUUGAAAAAAUAAAAUCAAGAAGGGUUAUCACAAAUUAUGGGAAAUAUGAAAACUUAACAGUGUAAUGAGGCACUUUUUUGUCUGUAAAAUUUGUUAUGUCUAUAGGAAUCUGAUUUGUUCAAUUAGCCUUGGUAUGCCACCCCCUCCUGAUAGAUCAGUGUUUAAAAUGGCCUUAUCACACAACAUAUCUUUCUAAUGUUGGUAGGUUGUUAGAAAUUUACAUGACUAGUGAAAAAAAUUGAGGGGCCUGAAGCUUAGUAUAUAUAUGAUACGAAAGUAUACUGUACUUGUGAAUUUCCUAUGCAUACUUUAAUAGUUGAGUUAGUAUGUUUUUAUAUGUUUCUUUAAUAUCAGAAGUUUUUUUUACUAAAUGUGUAUAUUCAUGGAUGUAAUAAACUAAAGCAUGUUUUAGUUAUAUAUAGAUGAUAAACUAGACCACUUUCCCCAGGAAAUACUUGAAUCUCUCUUUUCCUGACUACACAUUUAGUUUAGUAUUAUAUUAGUACAUUGAGUGCCAGUGGUAUAAAUCUGUUACAUUUAUUUUUCAACUUGUCAUUGAAGCUUUUUAUUUCUGACUAGUGAUUUGUCAGUUGUGUAACUCAUUCUAUGGUUGUUCUAUAUAAGAAUAAGUUUUAUAGAACCAUGCCCACAGUUGGUAUCUGGGGUAGACAUGGUAGAUGGACUUGAAAUAGCAAACCAGUUGUUUCGAAAAAUAUGAUUAUUAAUGAUUCUUUGCCCACCACCAAAGGGUGUGCUCUAAAUACUGUUUGAAAGGUCAAGGUCAUAAUGUUAGUCCAACUUACUAUGCCCAUAUUUAAAUUAUACAAAAUUGAGUGCCACUCAGUCUUCACAAUAGACUUUUAAAUCUAAAAGCUGGAAGCAAAUAAGAAAAUUUAAGUUAAUUUAUAUUGGCCUGUGGAGAUGAUUUUUAAAGGCCCAGCAGAAGUUUACCAAUCCUGUGCUUGUGAGGAUGUGGCUGAGCGCAGAGGGUGUCCACUGAGAAAUUUUGAAUGCGACAAAGGAUGUUUAAUUGAUACUUGGUAUACAUAUUAUUUGUUACCCACCACUAAAGAAUGUGUGAUCUAGCGACUCGUAAAGGUUAAGGUCACUGACAUAAAUUCAAAUCUGAAUCCAGUUUUAAUAAACUAUAAGAUAUAGAUUGUUUGUAUUUCAACUAUUUUAAGUGAAAACAACUUCUGAAAACUGUACAAUGUACUUGUAAUACCUACAGCCAGUAGGCAUGUUGUUUUAUACUAAUUAAUCUUUCCUGCAAUAUUACCUAAUUUCACAUAGUUUUGUUGUAUCUUUUGAUGUCUGCUUCACUGAAACAGGUCUGCAUAGAUCCCAGUCAGGAGCCUGUUAUUCCUGUCUUUGUUUAUGCAUAUAUUAUAUCAUACUUGUAUUUUGUUCAUUGUGUUGUUUUCUUUACACAAAUCAGGCCAUUAGUUUUCUUGUUUGAAUUGUUUUACAUUUAUCAUUUUGAGGCCUUUUAUUGCUGACUCUACGUUAUUGUUUUUUGCUCAUUAUUGAAGGCCAUACACAUUUACUAUUAUCAUGAUAUUUGUUGAUUUACAAAAGAAGUUUGAAAACAUUUUCAUGAUUUCAAUGCAGACUCUGUGACUGAUGUGUUUUUCAUGCAAGUAUUCGGUUAUCAAACAGCAUAACACUUCUAUACCUUAAGACUAUUUAACAUGAUCAACAGUUUGUUGGUAUGCCUUGACACCUCCCAUAGACCCUCUUUAUAUCCUACUGUUUUAUGAUUAUUCAUCAUUACUCCUUGGUAGAUGUUACUUUGAAGUGUCAUUCAUAGCUUUAAUACCACUUCAUUCUUUCAUCUGCCAAUCUUUCAUUUCAUUCAUUCUAAAAGGUCAAUUUGACUUUUAGUAAAGUCUUUAGUGAAUUGAAAGUACAUAGGAAAAAAAGAGAAUGAUAAGAGAGCAGAAUAACAGGGUUAGAAACAUCUUGAAAAUGUUGGAAAAAAAUCAUCAAUGAAUGAUAUUCUUGGAGGGAGAAGAGGAAGGGGGAGGGAUAUUUUAAAAAUUACAUAAUCUAGCCUAAUGAGACUUGAAAUAACAAUUACUUUGAGACUUAAUCUAGAUUGUCCAGUAUGGUCAAAUAAGGGUCAGAAACAUGUCACUGUGCUAUUAAAUAGUGUUCCCUUGCUGUAAUAUAUAAAAUUUACAAGAAAAAAAAAAAAAAGCCCCUCUCAUGAGGACCCUAGGAGGGUAAGGAGGGGGUGGAAGAUUUGAAAAUUAAAAUCUGGCCUUGUAAGAAUUGAAUUAAAUGAAUUAAAAGUAAUAAAAAGAGCAUGUAGAUAUAUAGCUAUAGGAGAGAGAAAAUGAUAAGAGAGCAGAAUAACUGGGUUAGAUACAUCUUGAAAAUGUUGAAAAGAAAUCAUCAAUGAAUGAUAUUCUUGGAGGGAGAAGAGGGGGGGGGGCAGGGAUAUUUUAAAAAUUACAGAAUCUAGCCUAAAGAGACUUGAAAUAACAAUUACCUUGAGACUUAAUCUAGAUUGUUAAGUAUGGUCAAACAAGGGUUAGAAACAUGUCACUGUGCUAUUAAAUAGUGUUCCCUUGCUGUAAUAUAUAAAAUUUACAAGAAAAAAAAAAUAAAAGCCCCUCUCAUGAGGACCCCCAUUAGGUUAGUAGUAUGUUAUGAUUACAUAUGAUAAUUACUCAGUAGCUGUAGCUUUGAAGUGUCAUUAGAGGUGGAAAGUUUAAUGAAUCAGCUGGGGAGUGUUCAUUUCAUUGUUUAUAAAUAUUAUAACAUGUAAUUGACAGAUACAGCAAGGGAGUGUUCAUUUCAUUGUUCAUAAAUAUUAUAACAUGUAAUUGACAGAUUAAAGCUAAUGACUUUUAUAUCUAUGUUGAUAGAUUUGUAAAUAUAUACAUAAAACAUUAAUAACAUUAUAUACCAUGCUGGGGGAAGGGCAUUUUCUCAUCAUUUCAACUACUCUCUAAAAGUGGUGUCGAGAUUCCCAAAUAUUUUACCCUGCACUUUCUUUCUAUUCAGGUUUUGAAUGUAAAUAUUGUACAAAGAAGAUUUACAUAUAAACAUAUUGUAUGUAUCAUGCUUGGUGAGGGGCAUGUUCAAAGCUCAUUUUUCAUCACCAUUUAGAAAUUUUUUGUUAAAAGUAUGUAGCAAACUUUUUACUCUGCAUUCUUUAUUUCCUAUCUUUUUUCCUCUGGUGCCCUUUUCUUCAUUUAUAUUAUAUGCUUUACGACAAUAAUGGCCUUGGUAAAUUGUAUAAAUCUUGUCAUUUUGAUUUGAUUGAAUUCCUGUUUUAAAAAAAAACCAACCAAACUUGUGGUAAACUAUUCUAAACAAGCAAGGUGUAAAUUUUAAUCUAUAUAAACCUGUGUUUUUGCAUUCCAUGUAUUCAAUUCAACUCCGGGUGCGAGAAUUUCUCGUUGCAUUGAAGACCUGUUGGUGACCUUCUGCUGUUGUGUGCUCUAUGGUCGGGUUGUUGUCUCUUUGGCACAUUCCCCAUUUCCAUUCUCAAUUUUAAUUCAAGUUUAAACAUGUAUAUCAUACUUGAGUGUUUGACUGGCAGCAGCAUGGCAGGAAAUACAUGUAUGUGGUUAUUAAAAUCACAUGUUGUAUUGCAGUAAAUUGUACCAAGGAAGGAUGAUAGACUUAUUUAAUAAAGCUGCAAUUUGUAUAUUACAGAUUUUAAGCUGAGGAAGCCAGGUUUAUGUUUUUUUAGUGAGGUUCAUUUCGCUUAGUCUUUAGAUUUCUAUGUAGUGUGGACAGACUGUUAUUUUUUUAGUGCUAUAUUACUAGCAUUGUCAGUUAUCCUGCUCAAGGUCGUUGGUUCUUCAAGGGCACUCUGGCUUCCAACAAAAAAAGUAGAUCACCACCUGACCACCAUUUGCCAUAGUGCUGAAGUGGCUUUAGGGAGCUACCAUUUGAUUUUUAUAGGGGGGGGCUAGGAUGAAAUUUGAAAAAAAUAGGCAGGACAGGAGUUUGAGUUAAAAAAAAAGCAGAUGAGAACUGCAAAAAAAAAGUCAGGACGACAUUUAGGUGAAAAAAAGGGUCAGGAAAUAAGGACUAAAAAAAAAAAAAUGCAGGACAAAUUUUUCAUCCUAGCCCCCCCAUAAAAAUCAAAUGGUAGCUCCCUUAAACACUUCCAAUCAAUCAAUCACAUUUUUGUACAUCAACUUUUUUCUAUCAUACAAACUUGUUGUUUAUAAAAUCCACAAAUCAGUAGACUAAAACAUGCUACAGGGCACAUCAUAAAGUUUAAUCUGUUAAUUUUGCACUCCAUGUAUCCUUGAAGGAGGCAAGCCAGUACAUGUUCACAUAUUUGAGUGUUUGACUAGCAGGGAAACAUGUGGUUUUAAAGUCACAUGAUAUUUAUGCCAUAAGGUUUAGUCACAUGAUAUUUUACCAUUCUAUACCAUCUUACAGAUGGUGAUGAGUUCUAUAAUUAUACAAUAAUGUCAUCUUACAUGUGACAAAUGAUGUCUAGGAGUACAAAUGUAGUUUGUACUGUGAUUUAUUGAGGGAUGUUGUGACUUAUUGAUACUUGAUCAUUGAUCAUUGACAAAUGUACUUAAACAUACAAAAAAAAAACUUUUUCUAUCGAUUUGAAAGAAACAUACAAAAAAAUCCACUUUUUCUAUCGAUUUUGAAAGAAACAUACAAAAAAAAAGCACUUUUCCUAUUGAUUUUGAAAGAAAAAUAUACCAGUUAAGGUGUUACAUGUACCAAACACCUCUUCUAAAAUAAUUUGGCUCGUAUAACUUUUAUAAAAUUUUGACAAAUAUUUGCUCUGACCAUUUGCUGACCAAAAAAAAAUCAAAAAAAUCAGAAAACGCGAACCACAUUAUCAUGAUGUGUAUUAGAUAUGAAUUAAGUGGAUGUCUCAAGAAGACCUGUUUUAGGAGAUCUAUGUCUGUAUCUGUUUCGUUUUUUUGCGAUUUUGGACAGCUGCCUACCUUACUUUUCAAUCAUUUGUUCCAUGGCUUAUGUGAUCAUAUGGGAAAAAGAACUGAUCUACGAAGAUAUGCAGUUGUCCUAUGCCUUCAUUUAUUCAUAUGAGAAAAAGAACUUGUUUCUUUGAUGAUAUCAGGUGUAACACUUUUUUGAAUAGUUUGAUAAAAGUACUAAGAUGUGUUGUCAGACUCCUGUCUUCCCAACAUUUGCUCCAUAUAUUUUAUAUAUUCAUAUAUAGAAAAAAACAAAUUGUUUACGAAGUUGUGCAUUUGUACCAGGCCUUUAUUUAUUCAUAUGGGGAAAAGAAACUUUUUUCUACAAUGAUAUUCAUUUGACCCAGGCCUUUAUUUAUUCAUACGGGGAAAAUAACUUUUUUUCUACGAAGUUGUGCAUUUGUACCAGGCCUUCAUUUAUUCAUAUGGGAAAAAGAAUGUUAUCUUUGUAACAGGUUUUUAAAUAGCAAGGUAAAACCUGUUUUACUUAUACAUGUAUGCAUUUGAUAUGCCUUUUAAGUUUGCUUUAGUUUAUCUCUGCUGUAAGGCUCCUGUCUUUCCAACCUUUGUCCUAUGCCUUGGACAUGUAUAUUCAUAAAUCGAAAACUUUUUUUAUACAAUAAUAUGCAUUUGUUCUAGCUAUAUAGGCUGCCUUUUAUUCAUAUGGGAAAAAUAACUUGUUUCGUUUGAUGAGAUCAGGUGUAACAGUUUUUUAAAUAGCUACGUUUAUCAUCUAAAACCUGUUUGACUUUGUGAGUAAUCUGAUGUGUUGUUAAGAUAACGGUUUAUCUAUGUUUCAUCUUCGUAUUGUACAUAUAUACUUUGUCAGCUUUUUAAAAUUUAUUCGAUAACAUAUGUCGAAUGAUGGAAAAACAGAGAACAUCGGACAAUUUAUUGUAUUACAUGAAUUUUUUUUUUUUUAAUAUAUUUUAAUAUUAAAUUGGACAAUGUUGGAUGCAUGGAAGUUGCAUUACAGAAUUAAAAAAAUUUAUGUUGUAGUUGGAUGGAUGAAAGUUUUCAUGAUUUUGCUGAUGUUCAGAUUUUGACAUUCGGUUUUAUGACACCUUUUGUACCUUCACCUAUGUAAUAUAUAAUUGUUGCAUAAUAAUGAAGAGAAAAUGAAAAAAAUAUUGAAACUUUGGCUUUCGAAUAGUAAAACUUAUGCAUGAUCUUAAAGGCUUUCUAUUGAGGAUAUUGUGAAUUCUUUUUAAGGUGGUACCCAACACUUUCCUAAAUUAAUUUGCUCGUUAAUUUCAUAAAUUUUGACAAGUAUUUACUUGACCUUUAACCAAAUAUAAAAUUUCAAAAAUUUGAACAACCAUUUUAUCAGAAACUUACGUUAAUAGCAGAUUCACAACACCAACUGAUCAUUGAAAGCUUAAAUUCCCUUUCAACACAACAUUAUUAAAACUUUGCUGGAUUUUACAGAGUUAUCUCCCUUAGUGUUAGGUACCACCUUAAGGUCAUUGAAAACACAUUACACUAGACAUUUAGCAACAACCAAUAAAUCUAAAAAAAAAACAUUUUUGAGCAACUGCAACCAAUAUAAAAUCAAAAAGCUUAAACUUUUAAGGAACCAAUAAUCAACCAAAAAGUAUAAACUUUAAGCAAGAAACAAUCAAAUCAACCUUUGUGUGUCAAUAGUUGAAGACUUUAUGUUGAUAUCUUUGGUUUUUGUCCUGUGUGUUGUCUUAUAGGUUAUACCCCAAAUUUCACAUAAAUGGCACCCUAUUUGAGCAUCACAUUCAAAUUCAUAUAAAAAGUCCACCAACAGUGGUAUCAACCUAAUGGUAAUGCUGUAAAAUAUGAAAGCGAAACAUGCCAAUCUAACAUGAUCUUAUAAUAGAAUUACAUUUACAUGUACCUCAGACGGCUGAUGAAUUGACAUGUAGUGUUACUAAAUUGAACAUCUGGUUAAUUAAGAUUACAACAAUUAUAGGAUCAUGAUGGAAGAAUUACUUCUAGAUUUUAAGAAAUUAGUCUUAUUAGAAUGUGUUUUCAUGUAUUUUGCAGGUGACAUCACGCAAAACAAGCUACGAUAAGAAAUUAGAAUGUGCUUUCAUGUAUUUUUCAGGUGACAUCACACGAAAAGGCUAUGAUAAGAAAAGAUCACGUUUGCUGAACCCAUAUGUCAACAAAAGUCCACCUCAACAAACUUCUGG